rnacentral:rRNA from 1 species
UACAGAGGUGGCAAGCGUUGUUCGGAAUUACUGGGCGUAAAGGGCGCGUAGGCGGUUCGAUAAGUCCCGUGUGAAAUCCCUCGGCUCAACUGAGGAACUGCACGGGAAACUGACGGGCUUGAGUUCGGGAGAGGGAAGCGGAAUUCCGGGUGUAGCGGUGAAAUGCGUAGAUAUCCGGAGGAACACCGGUGGCGAAGGCGGCUUCCUGGACCGACACUGACGCCGAGGCGCGAAAGCGUGGGGAGCGAACAGG